ensembl:lncRNA
UCAGACGCUCUGUCAUUUUUCUCUUGCUUUUCAUGCACUCAACUCCAGCACAAUCCGCUCUGUCAACUCCAGAAAGAACAGGCUGAGAUUCAACGGGCCUUUUUGCUAAAACAUAUCCCUCUUCUCUCUCUCUGGAAUUAAUAAACGAAAAGCACCUGUCUGUCUGUCUGUCCCUCGCUUUCUCAUUCUCAAUCUGCAGAUAUAUAAAUAGAGAUAGAGAGAGAGAGAGAAUGGACUGAAAUGUGUUGUUUGUAUAAUCAUUCAAUCCCCACUGGUUAAUAUUUCCAGCUUGUACAGCAACGACAAGCUUUUUGGGGAAAGUGUUGCUUUUUCCUCGUGGGACAUUCCUGCUUACAGACGCCGUCCGCAGGUCCCUCAUCUGUCCUUGCCUCUUCUGACCGGCGCUAAAGCGUUCAGAUGAUCGUAGCCUCAACCAGACACCUCACCAAAACCAAUAAGCUAAGUGUGCAGUGGAGACACUCAGAAUAACUGAGCUGAUCAUUACACACAAAUACACUCCCGAACAUAAGCAGCGACAUUAUAGACCCCCCAUUCUGACCAAAUUCACAAACUUGUCCGAUAACAAACUACGACAAGCUAGAAAAUCAAGAGUUACUGAGAGAAAUGAACUCAAAAUGAACAUGGAUCUUAU